GGCUCCUUCGUCUAGUGGUUAGGACACCACCCUUUCACGGUGGGAACACGGGUUCGAGUCCCGUAGGGGUCACCA
rnacentral:tRNA from 1 species